AGUGAACGCUGGCGGUAGGCCUAACACAUGCAAAUCGAACGGCAGCACAGUAAGAGCUUGCUCUUACGGGUGGCGAGUGGCGGACGGGUGAGGAAUACAUCGGAAUCUACUUUUUCGUGGGGGAUAACGUAGGGAAACUUACGCUAAUACCGCAUACGACCUACGGGUGAAAGCAGGGGAUCUUCGGACCUUGCGCGAUUGAAUGAGCCGAUGUCGGAUUAGCUAGUUGGCGGGGUAAAGGCCCACCAAGGCGACGAUCCGUAGCUGGUCUGAGAGGAUGAUCAGCCACACUGGAACUGAGACACGGUCCAGACUCCUACGGGAGGCAGCAGUGGGGAAUAUUGGACAAUGGGCGCAAGCCUGAUCCAGCCAUACCGCGUGGGUGAAGAAGGCCUUCGGGUUGUAAAGCCCUUUUGUUGGGAAAGAAAAGCAGCAGGUUAAUACCCCGCUGUUCUGACGGUACCCAAAGAAUAAGCACCGGCUAACUUCGU
rnacentral:rRNA from 1 species